rnacentral:rRNA from 1 species
CCUGCCCAAUGGUUGUAUCUAAAAGCGGUUGAUAAAAGUCGACCGCGUAAGGACAAUUGAAUGGCCGCGGUAACACUGACCGUGAUAAUGUAGCGUAAUCAAUASCCAAUUAAUUGUUGGCCAGUAUGAAUGGCGCCACGAAGGCCCCACUGUCUUAAGGAAAUUCCCAGUGAAAUUGAAUUCGUAGUGAAGAUGCUACGUCCAAUUUGUUAGACGAAAAGACCCCGUUGAGCUUUACUGGGGCACUUACACGGCCCCGGCCUUCAAGACUGGGUUGAUAAGCCAAGGCUUACCAUACCUAGGGACCGGCCGAAUUUAAAUGGGCGGSUUAGACUAUGUGGCAGCCCCCCCCGUCGGGGCAGAUGAAACCCCACUCCCCCAUGUCAAAGGGGCUAACCCCCCCCCCCUUGGGGGGGGACAAUGUAAGUAGGACAGUUUGGUUGGGGCGACCGCCUUUUAGAGAGUAACGAAGGUGCGCUUAAGGUGCGUAAUUAAUGACUGAAGCCUGACUGCGAGGGGGACACCCCGAGCAGACACCCCCAAGCCCGCCCGAGAAGGCUUUGCCUUCUGGGCGGCGGUGGGGUGG